AGCGGCGGAUGGGUGAGUAACACGUGGGGAACCUGCCCCUAAGUCUGGGAUACCAUUUGGAAACAGGUGCUAAUACCGGAUAAUAAAGCAGAUCGCAUGAUCAGCUUUUGAAAGGCGGCGUAAGCUGUCGCUAAGGGGUGGCCCCGCGGUGCAUUAGCUAGUUGGUAAGGUAACGGCAUACCAAGGCGACGAUGCAUAGCCGAGUUGAGAGACUGAUCGGCCACAUUGGGACUGAGACACGGCCCAAACUCCUACGGGAGGCAGCAGUAGGGAAUCUUCCACAAUGGACGCAAGUCUGAUGGAGCAACGCCGCGUGAGUGAAGAAGGUUUUCGGAUCGUAAGCUCUGUUGUUGGUGAAGAAGGAUAGAGGUAGUAACUGGCCUUUAUUUGACGGUAAUCAACCAGAAAGUCACGGCUAACUACGUGCCAGCAGCCGCGGUAAUACGUAGGUGGCAAGCGUUGUCCGGAUUUAUUGGGCGUAAAGCGAGCGCAGGCGGAAAAAUAAGUCUAAUGUGAAAGCCCUCGGCUUAACCGAGGAACUGCAUCGGAAACUGUUUUUCUUGAGUGCAGAAGAGGAGAGUGGAACUCCAUGUGUAGCGGUGGAAUGCGUAGAUAUAUGGAAGAACACCAGUGGCGAAGGCGGCUCUCUGGUCUGCAACUGACGCUGAGGCUCGAAAGCAUGGGUAGCGAACAGGAUUAGAUACCCUGGUAGUCCAUGCCGUAAACGAUGAGUGCUAAGUGU
rnacentral:rRNA from 1 species